rnacentral:rRNA from 1 species
UAGGAGGCAGCAGUGGGGAAUUUUGGACAAUGGGGGAAACCCUGAUCCAGCCAUUCCGCGUGAGUGAAGAAGGCCUUCGGGUUGUAAAGCUCUUUUGUCCGGAGCGAAAAGGUUACGGUGAACAUCCGUGACUACUGACGGUACCGGAAGAAUAAGCACCGGCUAACUACGUGCCAGCAGCCGCGGUAAUACGUAGGGUGCGAGCGUUAAUCGGAAUUACUGGGCGUAAAGCGUGCGCAGGCGGUUUUGUAAGCCAGAUGUGAAAUCCCCGGGCUUAACCUGGGAAUGGCAUUUGGGACUGCAAGGCUUGAGUGCGGCAGAGGAGACUGGAAUUCCUGGUGUAGCAGUGAAAUGCGUAGAUAUCAGGAGGAAUACCGAUGGCGAAGGCAGGUCUCUGGGCUGACACUGACGCUCAUGCACGAAAGCGUGGGGAGCAAACAGGAUUAGAUACCCCUGUAGUCCC